UAAAUGAUUGGAAGGUUAGAACCAUGUGAUGAAAAACCUGCAAAACAAGAUAAAAUAGUGAGAAAGACAUGAGACAAAAACAAUAAAUUGAUAUAAAGUUUGGUGUUUAUAAGUUUAAAGAGAUUAGAGAGAUGUUGGAGAAUUUUAGAAUGAGGAACAUAAAUUUUUGUUGCAGCCAUUUGAGAGGAGGAGAGAGAAUGUGUAAAUUUUUCUUUAUAUAAGGAGACAAAAAUUCCAAUAAAAUUAAAUAUUUUUGAUUCAGAAGAUUUUCAAGUAAACCUUCUAAUAGAAAAAUUUCUAGACGACUUACUUGUAAGUCGCCCAGAAAACUUCAAUAUUUUUAGCGGAAAACUAAAAUAUUUAUAGCGGAAGUUAGAAGACUUUCGGUGAAGUCUUCUAAUCGCCAGAUCCACUACAAGAAAAUAAUGUUAUUGCAACUAUAAUUUUUGUCACAAUAUAUAGAUUUUUCGUCACAAUUUUUUUAUUGUGACUAAUGUGUGACAAAUUCAAAAAAGUCACAAUAAAAUGGUCACAAAUCAUGUUUUGUAUCAAAAUCGUCACACUUAUAGUGACGAUCUACUACGGAAGUAAAUUUGUUACUAAUUGUGACGAAAUAUAAAAGUCAAAAAAAUGACACAUUUUGUUACGGUUAAAAUGUAACAUAUACGUCACGAGCCGUGACAAAAAAAUUAGUGACAGAUUCGUUAGAAGUUCUUACCAAAUUUGUGUCACCCAUUAGUCACAAACCCCCGACCGAAAAAAGUCACAAAUCCGUCACGAAUGGUGACCAAAAGAUAGUAAUAAUAUUGUCACAAACUUUUAAUUUGUGACAUUUUGUUGAUACUACUAUAGUUCAUGAUUAUUAAUAAUCUGAAAACUGUUGCAAAUUAGUCAUAUAUUGUAACUACGUAAUUAUUUUUCAAAUAUCUAUAAUACAUACAAUGAAACACAUAAUAAAACGUUAAAUUACCACCAAAUAUAUACAAUAAGAACUAGCAUCCAAAUCAAAGAACAAAGUAGGUUUGCAAAUAUAACAACAAGAAAAAAGCCUUAACAAAAUACAUAAAUAAAAGAUACUAAGAACAUGUGGUGAACGUACUCCAUGGAAACUGGAUAGUGUUGGUGGUGGAUCCAGACAUAGAAAUUCAAACUUGUGAUUGACUGAACAAGCUUUUCCAUAUUUUCAAGUCUUUUUUUUCAAACUGCAGAUUUUCUUUACAGCUCUGUUUAAGCUCUGCUUCCACCUCUUGCAAUCUUUUUGUUAUUAUUUCCACUUCUUCGGAAGCAUGUGAUUCAUUCGAUGGAGCUUCAAUAGAUGGUAAAACCUUACUGUGUAGUGCUCCAAGUCCAAAGACAUGUCCUUGUUUAGAUGUUCCAGCAUCCUAAUAAAAAUAACAAACAUGCGAACAAAAACUAAAGCCAUGCAAAAUUGUAGUAAUAAUUAAUGAGUAGUAUAUUUACCACUAUGUACAUCACAAAAAAUCCAGGUGCAGUAGUGAGUAACAAACAAACCACAACCAAAAUGACUUGACACUUAAGAAACACAUAUCACUACUACUAUUUUAUAAUCGUACGUCAAUUAUAUAUUGUUUAUCAUUAAGGAUAAAUAAGAGAAAUAAUCAAUAAUAUAACUUUUUUUGAAACAUUAUUCAAACAUUACAGUAGUACAAGAGGUUAGAAUGUUACCUUGAUAAAAAUUUCGUUUUCCUCACACUGAUCAAGAUUCUCAGGUGUCACAUUCUGUAGACCAGAAGAUUCAAGUUGUCCCAGACGUUCUUCUAUAUGCUUUCCAUAAGUUUCUGCAACCAAUCGAGCUCGCUCAUCAACGUAAGUUCCGUCCGGUUUUUGAUGUGUUUUCUUCAUCACAGCAAUAAAAGAGAAGUCUUCGUUGUUUGCUUCCUACAAACAAUUAAAAAAUACAUCGAAAAUAAAUAAUACAAAAUUAUCAAGAGAAACUAAUAAUGGAAAUAUAAACAUUACCAGCACAUCCAACUUUGGCAUAUGAACAUAAACCAGCUCUAUGUUGAUGUAGAUCUAAACCAUUGCGAUUAGACAAUCGAGAAGCACGUGCACUAGCACUCGUCUUUUUUGGCUUUCGGUGAUCUCCCGUAAGAGCGUCCACCUAUUGUUGCUGGAGCCAUCUAGAAAACCAAUUUAUAAGGAUACGAUACGUUGGUACAGUUUUAGCGAGGAUACGAUACUUUGAUACAGUUUUAGCAAUUCAACUUCAAACCAACUUCUCAAAAUCCAACAUCAUGUAGAAAUUACCUUUCUAACUGAAGGCGACAGAUAAAGAAACAAAUAAGAGAAGAAAUCUUUUUUUUUUUUGUCAAAGGAUUACAAACUAGAAUUGAACCAUAAAGAGAGUACAAUGAUCUUUUCCAAUCCUAACACAGAAAUUAACAUUUUACCAAGAUCCAUUGCUAAUACCAUGCUAAGAAUAAUCCAAGCUUUUCUAAGGAUCGUCAAGAGGAAUUCACGCACAACAAAUGGUGAAGACGGGCAGCAACACUGAGGACGAUAACUUGAAAACAAAACAUGGCAUCGUCUGGAAAAGAUGAGUGAAUCUCCAUCUAGAACUGAUGCAGUCCAAAAUGACCUGGAAGAACUAUUUUGGAUUCUUUUCCUGCAAAACAUCGAUCAAAACCAUGUCUAGAGUAAAUUUUACUUCACACUGCUUGCUCUUCGGUUAUCCACAAUAGUGGCUUGAGUAGAACGCAACUAGAACAUGAAGAAGAAUCGUAGCCAGAAACAUGACAAUAUCCUUAAAAAGGAGAGGGAUCUACCAUACAGCAUAGUACGGAUUGAGAUAACACAGCCCAGAUAUAACAAGAGCACAUUUGACCAACACAUCUAAGAAAGCCGAGAACCAAGGAGAACAAAACAGGAACAAGGAUAACCAGAGGACAAGAGGGCUAGCCACGACCGUCGAUCGAACAGAUCCGGACCUCCAUCAUCACACCAGAGGGGAUCUGGUCAUGAUAAGAAGAAACAGCCUCAUCCGCUUCAAAAACGCUUUUCCACAACAACUUAUACCGAACAGAGACAGCUAUAGAAUCACACAAACAAAAGAGAGAGAGUAAAAAUUAGGCUUUUCCGGUGCUAAGAGAAGAAAUCUACAAAUAUAAUUUCGUUUUAAGAUUUGUUAGGGGCAGAAGUUAUCAAAUGCCUCAGGUACUUGUGUUUUUCUUGGGGUUAUAAUUGAGUUCGUGAAAUACUUGGCAACACUUAGAGCGCUAGAGUGAAAAAGUUAUGGCUCCACUUAAAAUUUUUAACGCGGUCUAUUAAAAAAAAAUUAGAAACACACUACCUGAUUUUAAGUCGUGGGUUAAUUGUAACAAAAAUAUUUACUUAUUUACAUUGAGUAAUUUUGACAAGGAAAAUACCCCUCAUUGGGAAGUGAUAGUCGGCUUGAUCUUUUGAAUGCACCAACGAUAAAAUAAAUUUUAUGGUCCCUUCGGGGACAUCCGAUAAAAUUGGAACGAUACAGAAAAGAUUAGCAUGGCCCCUGCGCAAGGAUGACACGUACAAAUCGAGAAAUGGUCCAAAUUUUUUACCCUUUUUCCAAAAAAAAAAAAAAAUUUAUGCCAAACUAAAUAAUUUGCGAGUGUUGGUUGAGUCAAGACUCCCUCUACUUCUCAACGGAGGGAUCUUUUCUUAAGCUAAUUACUUAGAGUAAUUGCACUCCACACACAAAGAAAACCUCAUAAUUGAGUGAAUACACAUUUGAUGUUUGCUUAGGAUUUGUCGAUUCUCAUAUGACCAAUAUACCCCUAUUCCAUAUCUGACCAUAACCUAAUAUUUGCAUGUAAUCUAAAUCUUUUUUUAAUUAUAUUUUUGAUAAACCAAAUUUAGACGAAAGCUUUUUGUGUCCGACAAGUUGAAACAUAAUAGUAUUUUAAAUUGUUUCCCUUGAUCUUUAAAUUCUAGACUAUUGUAAAGCCUUUUCACUACCUCUUUUAUAUUUAACUUUUGUAUUUUCAUCUCUUUCUAUCUUAAAUUCUUGAUUAAUUUCACGACUCCAUUCCUCCCAACCCAUUCCAUCGCUUUUAGUUCCUAUCUCUGCGAAUCCAAGUUCUUUCCUCCUUUUACCCAGUUCGAUACUUUUUAAUUGUUGUAUCAUACUACCGAUUCUCAACAGGUUUAAUGGAUUUUUUGUGGUGAAAUAACCUCUCCCGUUUUACUAUUUUUGACAGCACGACGGCGGUGAUCACGGUGGAGGAUAUCACGUUUUGAUGGUGGUUGUGGUUAAGGAUUGUCCAGAUGGUCUAUUGAGGUUGAACAUCAAGACGAAGAAGAAGAAAAUGAACAGAGGUUCUCCAAUUCAAGGGCCUGUUUUUGAAGAUCUAAAACGAUAAAAUCUUUGAGCUUUUUUGUUUAUUUGUUCAGUUUUCUCUAUAAGCACUUUGAGAUUCGAAAAGUGUGUGACAGUUGGUGAUGGAGCUGACAAUGUUUGUUGAUUUCUUAAACAAACUACACUUUCCCUAUGGUUAUCUCUCGCAAUCAUGUUUUUUUGUAUAAAAUACAUUUUUCAUC